rnacentral:rRNA from 1 species
AUUGAACGCUGGCGGCAGGCCUAACACAUGCAAGUCGAGCGGAAGAAGGGAGCUUGCUCCUGGAUUCAGCGGCGGACGGGUGAGUAAUGCCUAGGAAUCUGCCUGGUAGUGGGGGAUAACGUCCGGAAACGGGCGCUAAUACCGCAUACGUCCUGAGGGAGAAAGCGGGGGAUCUUCGGACCUCACGCUAUCAGAUGAGCCUAGGUCGGAUUAGCUAGUUGGUGGGGUAAAGGCCUACCAAGGCGACGAUCCGUAACUGGUCUGAGAGGAUGAUCAGUCACACUGGAACUGAGACACGGUCCAGACUCCUACGGGAGGCAGCAGUGGGGAAUAUUGGACAAUGGGCGAAAGCCUGAUCCAGCCAUGCCGCGUGUGUGAAGAAGGUCUUCGGAUUGUAAAGCACUUUAAGUUGGGAGGAAGGGCAGUAAGUUAAUACCUUGCUGUUUUGACGUUACCAGCAGAAUAAGCACCGGCUAACUUCGUG